AAGCCAGUUACUUCCACAUUGUUUACAAGAGCAAAGCUGUAGAGGAAAUAGACUUCUUCAAGGCCCGAGUUCACUGAGGGAAAGCUGGCUCACAGCUGAUUACUAUCAGAAUAAAAACAGUAUGGAUAAAUGGGGAGCCUGAGAGUAAAUACACCUUUAGGUCUCAGAUGGUUUGGAUCAGCAGGCUGUAGGAGCACGCUACUGAGGCUGAAGGACUGACUGGUCAUAGUUUUACUGUGCCACAACAUGGAGGCUGGCUAACUCUAGAAGCAUCCAGACUGAGCACUGUGCUCUCUGGUCUGUUCAGCACAUGAGCCAAUGAGACACCUAGUACUGCAGUACUUUGGGACCCUUGGACCUUAGACGACACUUCUCAUAUUUCACAGUGAAGCCCUCUGAAUCUUCUAAGAGCAGCUCUGGCAGAACUAGCAAGUGGGCCCAAUAAUCUGUUUCCACAAUGUUUCUGUCACUGUUGUCUUGGGUAUUUCCAUUUC